GACGAACGCUGGCGGCGUGCUUAACACAUGCAAGUCGAACGGAAAGGCCCCUUUGUGGGUACUCGCAUGGCGAACGGGGGAGUAAGACGUGAGUAAGUAGCCCUUCCCUUCGGGAGAGCUACAGUAAAGUGAGGCUGGUACAGAAACGGAAUACUUUCUGGAUGCUGGGGGUUGGAAAGCUUCGGCGGGUGUGGAUGGAAUGGCUGGUUAUCUGCUUGUUGGUGGGGUGAUGGCUUACCUAGGCUUGGUCGGGUGGCCAGCCUGCGUGGGUGACCCGCCAUCCUGGGACUUAGGUAAGGCCCCGGCUCCUACGGGUGGGAGCAGGGGGGAAUCUUGCACAAUGGGCGGAAGGCUGAUGCAGCAACGCCGCGGGCCGGAAGACUGCCUUCGGGGUGUAAACCGCUUUUAGCAGGGGCGGAGCUUGUGGUGACGGUACCUGCAGAAGAAGCACCGGCUAACUACGUG
rnacentral:rRNA from 1 species